UACGUAGGGUGCAAGCGUUAAUCGGAAUACUGGGCGUAAAGCGUGCGCAGGCGGUUGUGCAAGACAGAUGUGAAAUCCCCGGGCUUAACCUGGGAAUUGCAUUUGUGACUGCACGGCUAGAGUGUGUCAGAGGGGGGUAGAAUUCCACGUGUAGCAGUGAAAUGCGUAGAUAUGUGGAGGAAUACCGAUGGCGAAGGCAGCCCCCCUGGGAUAACACUGACGCUCAUGCACGAAAGCGUGGGGAGCAAACAGG
rnacentral:rRNA from 1 species